CGGCAACAGCUCAAAUUUGAAAUCUGGCGCAAGCCCGAGUUGUAAUUUGUAGAGGAUGCUUCUGGGUAGCGGCCGGUCUAAGUUCCUUGGAACAGGACGUCAUAGAGGGUGAGAAUCCCGUAUGUGACUGGCUUGCACCCUCCACGUAGCUCCUUCGACGAGUCGAGUUGUUUGGGAAUGCAGCUCUAAAUGGGAGGUAAAUUUCUUCUAAAGCUAAAUACCGGCCAGAGACCGAUAGCGCACAAGUAGAGUGAUCGAAAGAUGAAAAGCACUUUGGAAAGAGAGUUAAAAAGCACGUGAAAUUGUUGAAAGGGAAGCGCCCGCAACCAGACUUUGCGGCAGUGUUCGGCCGGUCUUCUGACCGGUUUACUCGCUGUCGUGAGGCCAUCAUCGUCUGGGACCGCUGGAUAAGACCUUAGGAAUGUAGCUUCCCUCGGGAAGUGUUAUAGCCUCUGGUGAUGCAGCGCGUCUCGGGCGAGGUCCGCGCUUCGGCAAGGAUGAUGGCGUAAUGGUUGUCGGCGGCCCGUCUUGAAACACGGACCAAGGAGUCUAACAUCUAUGCGAGUGUUCGGGUGUCAAACCCCUACGCGUAAUGAAAGUGAACGGAGGUGGGAACUUUUUGUGCACCAUCGACCGAUCCUGAUGUCCUCGGAUGGAUUUGAGUAAGAGCAUAGCUGUUGGGACCCGAAAGAUGGUGAACUAUGCCUGAAUAGGGUGAAGCCAGAGGAAACUCUGGUGGAGGCUCGCAGCGGUUCUGACGUGCAAAUCGAUCGUCA
rnacentral:rRNA from 1 species